rnacentral:rRNA from 1 species
GACGAACGCUGGCGGCGUGCUUAACACAUGCAAGCCGAACGGUGACCUCGAGAGCUUGCUCUUGGGUGAACAGUGGCGAACGGGUGAGUAACACGUGAGUAACCUGCCCCUGACUCUGGAAUAAGCGCUGGAAACGGCGUCUAAUACCGGAUAUGACACACCCUCGCAUGGGGAGUGUGUGGAAUGUUUUUCUGUCUGGGAUGGACUCGCGGCCUAUCAGCUUGUUGGUGAGGUAAUGGCUCACCAAGGCGAUGACGGGUAGCCGGCCUGAGAGGGCGACCGGCCACACUGGGACUGAGACACGGCCCAGACUCCUACGGGAGGCAGCAGUGGGGAAUAUUGCACAAUGGGCGCAAGCCUGAUGCAGCGACGCCGCGUGAGGGAUGACGGCCUUCGGGUUGUAAACCUCUUUCAGCAGGGAAGAAGCGCAAGUGACGGUACCUGCAGAAGAAGCACCGGCUAACUACGUGCCAGCCGCCGCUGUAACAC